rnacentral:rRNA from 1 species
GACGAACGCUGGCGGCGUGCUUAACACAUGCAAGUCGUACGGUAAGGCCCUUUCUGGGGUACACGAGUGGCGAACGGGUGAGUAACACGUGAGUAACCUGCCCACAACUUUGGGAUAACGCUAGGAAACUGGUGCUAAUACUGGAUAUGUGCUCCUGCUGCAUGGUGGGGGUUGGAAAGCUCCGGCGGUUGUGGAUGGACUCGCGGCCUAUCAGCUUGUUGGUGGGGUAGUGGCCUACCAAGGCGGCGACGGGUAGCCGGCCUGAGAGGGUGACCGGCCACAUUGGGACUGAGAUACGGCCCAGACUCCUACGGGAGGCAGCAGUGGGGAAUAUUGCACAAUGGGCGCAAGCCUGAUGCAGCAACGCCGCGUGCGGGAUGACGGCCUUCGGGUUGUAAACCGCUUUCAGCAGGGACGAAGCUUUUUGGAACGGAACCUGCAGAAGAAGCACCGGCAAACUACGU